GAUGAACGCUAGCUACAGGCUUAACACAUGCAAGUCGGGGGGAAACGAUAUUGGAAGCUUGCUUCCGAUAGGCGUCGACCGGCGCACGGGUGAGUAACGCGUAUCCAACCUGCCCACCACUUGGGAAUAACCUUGCGAAAGUAAGACUAAUGCCCAAUGAUAUCUCUAGAAGACAUCUGAAGGAGAUUAAAGAUUUAUCGGUGAUGGAUGGGGAUGCGUCUGAUUAGCUUGUUGGCGGGGCAACGGCCCACCAAGGCGACGAUCAGUAGGGGUUCUGAGGGGAAGGGCCCGCACGAUGGAACUGAGAAACGGUCCAAACUCCUACGGGAGGAAGCAGUGAGGAAUAUUGGUCAAUGGGCGAGAGCGUGAACCAGCCAAGUAGCGUGCAGGAUGACGGCCCUAUGGGUUGUAAACUGCUUUUAUAAGGGAAUAAAGUUAGUCUCGUGAGACUUUUUGCAUGUACCUUAUGAAUAAGGACCGGCUAAUUCCGUGCCAGCCGCCGCAGUAA
rnacentral:rRNA from 1 species